ACCUUAAAAGCGAAGGAGAAUCCUUUUCGUUUUUAGUAAGAGCAUCCUUCCGUAAAAAUAUUUUCCAAAUAAUGCUAUCGAAAAUCUUUUGUUUAAAGGAAAGCAAAAUCGUGUUUUAUUCUCUUACCAAAAAGGAUAAAAUAAAUUUUUGGUAACAAAGAUUCUCAUAUCUUCUAAAUAAGGAAAGAAGAUAUUUUGAUUUUAAAUGAAAUGUCCACUUUCCAAAAGCAAGGGACACGAUGCUCCCUAUAAAUAGGAGCUUUCACGUCUUGAGCUAUGGUGGAAAUAAGAGUUUUUGUUUUAAGAGCAUUCUCUCAUUGAUCAAAUCUUUAUCUCUCAAAACUUACUCUCUACCCCCCAUUUUUCUUUUCAUCUUUACACUUAACGUUUUUAUCUUUAAAGAGAAAAGAAUUUUUACAACUACUUUUGAAAAACGGUUCUGAGUUCUAAACGAUUUUCUAAUCUGGUAAACUGUUUUUCCUGUGCUUAUAUGUGCGUUUCUUUCUGUCUAUUUAGAUUCUGUUAUCUAUAGUAGACAGGCUUUUAUUUGAU
rnacentral:lncRNA from 1 species